rnacentral:rRNA from 1 species
UACGGAGGGGGCAAGCGUUGUUCGGAAUUACUGGGCGUAAAGGGCUCGUAGGCGGCCAACUAAGUCAGACGUGAAAUCCCUCGGCUUAACCGGGGAACUGCGUCUGAUACUGGAUGGCUAGAGGUUGGGAGAGGGAUGCGGAAUUCCAGGUGUAGCGGUGAAAUGCGUAGAUAUCUGGAGGAACACCGGUGGCGAAGGCGGCAUCCUGGACCAAUUCUGACGCUGAGGAGCGAAAGCCAGGGGAGCAAACGGG